rnacentral:rRNA from 1 species
CCCUUAGAUGUUCUGGGCCGCACGCGCGCUACACUGAUGCAUUCAACGAGUCUAAAACCUGCUCUGAUAGGGGUGGGUAAUCUUUUGAAUGUGCAUCGUGAUUGGGAUAGAUGAUUGCAAUUUUUCAUCUUCAACGAGGAAUGCCUAGUAAACGCAAGUCAUCAGCUUGCAUUGAUUACGUCCCUGCCCUUUGUACACACCGCCCGUCGCUCCUACCGAUUGAAUGAUCCGAUGAAUAUCAUGGAUUGAGGAUGCAAGCAGGUUCGCCCGUCUUCAUCUUCGAGAAGUGAAGUAAAUCUUACCAUUUAGAGGAAGGAGAAGUCGUAACA